ACGGUUACCUUGUUACGACUUAGCCCCAGUCACCAGUUUUACCCUAGGGCGCUCCUUGCGGUUACGCACUUCAGGUACCCCCGGCUCCCAUGGCUUGACGGGCGGUGUGUACAAGGCCCGGGAACGUAUUCACCGCGCCGUGGCUGAUGCGCGAUUACUAGCGAAUCCAGCUUCAUGAAGUCGGGUUGCAGACUUCAAUCCGAACUGAGAGAGGUUUUUGGGAUUGGCAUCCACUUGCGUGGUAGCAGCCCUCUGUACCCCCCAUUGUAACACGUGUGUAGCCCCGGACGUAAGGGCCGUGCUGAUUUGACGUCAUCCCCACCUUCCUCACAUCUUACGAUGGCAGUCCCGACAGAGUCCUCAGCAUAACCUGUUAGUAACUAUCGGCAAGGGUUGCGCUCGUUAUGGCACUUAAGCCGACACCUCACGGCACGAGCUGACGACAACCAUGCAGCACCUUCACAACCGCUAUUGCUAGCUAUGGCGUUUCCGCCAUAUUCGGUUGCAAUUUAAGCCCGGGUAAAGUUCCUCGCGUAUCAUCGAAUUAAACCACAUGUUCCUCCGCUUGUGCGGGCCCCCGUCAAUUCCUUUG
rnacentral:rRNA from 1 species